rnacentral:misc_RNA from 1 species
UUGUGGAGGAGGACGCCGAAGGUGGGGCUGAUGACUGGGGUGAAGUCGUAACAAGGUAGCCGUACCGGAAGGUGCGGCUGGAUCACUCUAACAGGGAGACAACAACUGAUUAUGAUGUCUGAAUAAUUUGGUUUAGGCCAUAAUCCCGUCACCUUAGGUCGAUCGGUACCUCAAUUUAGAUAACUUCAAUAAUCAAUUUCUUGAUUAUUUUGAUAUUUAUGUUCAGUUCUAAACUUUGUCUAGGUCACACCCAACAAGGGUACUCUGGGCCAUUAGCUCAGGUGGUUAGAGCGCACCCCUGAUAAGGGUGAGGUCCCUGGUUCAAGUCCAGGAUGGCCCAUUCGGUGUUGGGGGUAUAGCUCAGUUGGUAGAGCGCCUGCUUUGCAAGCAGGAUGUCAGCGGUUCGAGUCCGCUUACCUCCACUGACCAACCCCUUUCAACCAAUUAAGUUGAGAGCCUUUGCGCGAUGUGAUUUAGACUAUAUGUCCGCUGAUUGAACCUAGCUUCCUCCCAUUCCCUGCCGAUUUUUUUCAAGGCAAGGUUGAUAGGACGCUGGGCUCAUUCCAACUCUUCUUAGAGGAUGGGAAAAGUUCAGCAGAACCUUGAAAACUGCAUAGAUUAAGUCUGGAAAAAAUAAAGCAUCUCAUAGAUGCAUUAUCUUUAGAAUUGAGUUAGUUAUUUGCUAAGCAAUUUCUUUACUCUUUUAUUGAGAUAAUGUUUUUUCUUGAGCAAGAGCCGAGACUCUAUAAUUUAACUUUUUACAGAUAAAAAUGUGACGAGUCUGAUUAAUUAUUCAUUUAAUAAUUAAUUGAAUAAUUAAGAAAGCGUAUUCAACAACGCUAAAGGUUAUAGAGAUUUAUUGGUCAAGCUACAA